UCAAAAGGUACUCAUUCCUUGUUGCCCUCAGUUCCUAUAACGUUCUGGUGAUCUUCAACUUUGAUGCUACAGUCUGGGUUCCUGGCUAUACUAAAAUGUUGAAUUUGGUUCCAUUCUCAGCUGUAAUUUCUUAGAUCAAGGACAAUUUGCUGAGUCAUUGCUCGGCGAGGAUUCUAAGAGCUUUGCUUCCCUCAAAGACACGUGGCUUCUUCUAAUCAUCCAUCAUUACCAGUUUCUUUAGUGCUAUGGGGUUUUUCUUAAUUCCACUGGUGGACUUUAGAAGGAAGGAGGGAGGAA